AAUAUUUUUAUAAUAAUAAGCUUAUUUUUGUAAAAAUAUCAAGAUACUUUUACAAUAAUAAGUUUAUUCUUAUUUCUUGUUAGUGUCUUUCUAAUAUACAGUAAUAUAAUUUUAAAAUACAGUAAUAUUAUUUGUUUUUAAUUUUUUUUUUCAUACCUUUUUCUUGUUAGUAAAGUUGUUAUACGUAAAGCAGAACUGAUUUAAUAACUGUUAUUUUUAUUGACUGUUGACAAUUUCAAGAUCUUUUUUUUUUGAUUAUACAAUUUUUUUGUUAUCUUUAUUCCAAUAUGCACAGACUACAGCUGGUAAGUUAUUAUAGCAUAACUUUUAUUAACCAUUAAAGAAAUAUAAAUAAAUAUAUGUAUUUCCUACUUAUUUAAUUAUUACUUGUUGUGUAUGGAUUUCCCAUUUGCUGCAAUUUUUUAAUUUUAGUAUCUACCUUUUGUGUCACAUGUAAGUUAAACAACUUUUUAAUGUUAAAACUUUACAAUAUGUUUAACUUUAGUUCCUUAGUCAUGUGCUGCAACUAGUAAUUUAAAAAACUAUUACAUUUUAUGUGUAUGCAUCUCUCGUUAUUUAAAUUAUUGAUUUUUUGUUACAACAUUGUAAUUUUAGUAUCUGCCUCUUGUGCUACACCUGGUAAGUUAAACAACUCUUUUUAAUGUGCACAAAUUUCUCAUUGAUUGCAAUAUUGAUUUUUAUGAUAUAUUUUUUACCUUUAGUUCUUUAUACGUGUGGCUACGCCUGUUCCAUCUGUACCACCUUUAAACGGUUGGUGGGUUAAAUAUGAUCAUUUAAAUGAGAAAAUGUAUACUAGUGCAACUUGUAAUCUGGGUGUUAUAACAUCACAAGCACAUCUAUGGUCAACUCUAAGAUCACCUUAUUUUGUUUAGCAGUGUUUUGGAAUCAAGUUAUGGCAAUAUUUUGUGUAUAAAAUAUAACAAUUACAUUUAAAAAGUGCUUAUUUCUGACAAAAACUUGUAUUUUCUUAAGGGUUAGAUGGUGUUUCAUUACCCCCUCUGGCUCCCAAGAUACACCCUACAUCCAGGCACCAAAAUGAACUUGUAGCCCAUUAGUGCACCUAUCUUGUGAUACCAAGAUAUAG
rnacentral:lncRNA from 1 species